CUGCCUCCCCCUUCUCCCCCCUACUACUCCCCCCUCCCUCCCCCUCCUCCCCCCUUCUACUCCCCCCUCCCUCCCCCUCCUCCCCCAGAUCUGCUGUUGGACAGUUACUCCCCCCCCCUCCCCCGCUCUAUGACCCUCCCCCGCCGGCCCACUGUCUCAGCCCACAGCCGCGCUGAUCAAGAAGUCUAUUACAAGACCAUGCAGACGGAGAGGAGAUUAUAACGCGACAUAGAGGAGUUAUAAUAGACAGUAACACUACUAAAAACAGACUACGAGGUCAGAAGAGAACAUAGGGGAAUUUAUAGAGCAAGAGACAGUUGUACCACUAGUUAACCAUACAGUCAGGGGCCGUAAUUAAAUGUGACACCAUUUGGGGAGCCCUAACAGUCAGGGGAAGUUAUUAAAUGUGACACAGUUUGGGGAGACCAAACAGUCAGGAGAACUACUACAUGACUUAAAUGAGUGAGAGGAGGUUAUGAGACGACUUAGGAGUUAAAAUGUAAUAUAAUGGAGGUUAUAACUUGGCGUAGAGGAGUCACAAUGAUCCAGAACACUACUUCAAUACUGAGAAAGGGUCCAGAUGGAAACAGACAAAUAGCUGAUCUUCAAGACACUGCAGAGUAGGAGAAGGACAUGAGAUGACUUAAAGAAGUUAAGAUAUGACAUAACAGCAAAACCUACAAGACAUUGCAGAGUAAGACUUGGGAGGACUGCUAAGUCAAGGUCUAACAGUGGAGGUGGAGCGUGUCUGACUGAAGGUCUUCAGGAGCAUGGAGACUGGAUCACUAAAGACAACAGAAACAAUAGCAGCUCUAGUAGUUGGUUUACCACCGACUACUAUCUGACUAGACUAUACAACUAUACUGACUAUACUCACCAGCUGUACUAUACUAUACUAUACUAUACUGUAUAUAGGAUCUCUCUCAGGUUUCCAUUCCACUGACUUACUGUAGAGAUGAAGAAGAGGAGGGGAAAAGGAGGAAGGAAAGUGAACAUCUUGGAGAGGAUUACUACAGUAAACAAAGAGGGGGAGACAAAGACUGGAGGGGACAUUUGGCUUAACAACGUGAACAGAUCCACACAGACACACAUAGCUGUGGGAAGUCGUUUGGUGGUGGGGGUCCGCGCUACAGACCGCUAACACAGUGCACUACUUUUAGGAAAAUUGAAAAUGAAGGAUUUUAGAUUUUAAUUUUAAUUCAGAUUUUUAGUAGUACCCCUACUACCCGUGGCGCUACACACACACACACACACACACACACACACACACACACACACACACACACACACACACACACACACACACACACACACACACACUAACGCACACACACUAACGCACACAGACAGACUCAACCAAUCACCUCCAAUUGUAUACAAUUACAUGCAAUAAUAUCAAUUAUUUUUAAGCUCAUGUGUUGCUAAUCAAACCCCCACUGACAAUACAAUAAGAUAAAUGGUGACUAAAGACUGUAUAGACUUGUGGGUGUGGUCUGUGUGCAUCGGUUGCCUAGUAGCAGAAUGACUUGUUCUGUAGUGGAUAUCCUCUUUUGAUAAUAGAACUGUUGAAUACUGGUGUUAGUCUGCAUGUGCAUGUGUGUGAGGGUGUGUCUGUCUUGCAUGUGUGUUUCUGUGUGUGAAUGAGUGUAUUCUACUUCAUUGUGUUUCUAUGAACUUGCAUUAUGACUUCUAAGAAACAGAAAUGCUGCCUUUUCCAGAGAUGUCAUUUAUUUACCUUUUUGUCUUUAUUACCAAUGUAAAUACUAAUAUUAUAUUACUGUCCUUUUUUCAUGGGCUACUGUUUUUUUAAACUUGUGUUUCCAGGUAAUGGUUAUAAACUCCUUGACUAAGG